rnacentral:rRNA from 1 species
AGAGUUUGAUCAUGGCUCAGGAUGAACGCUGGCGGCGUGCCUAACACAUGCAAGUCGAGCGAUCUUCUUCGGAAGAGAGCGGCGGACGGGUGAGUAACGCGUGGGUAACCUGCCUCAUACACAUGGAUAACAUACCGAAAGGUAUGCUAAUACAAGAUGAUAUAAGAGAUUCGCAUGGAUUUCUUAUCAAAGCUCCGGCGGUAUGAGAUGGACCCGCGUCUGAUUAGCUAGUUGGUAAGGUAACGGCUUACCAAGGCGACGAUCAGUAGCCGACCUGAGAGGGUGAUCGGCCACAUUGGAACUGAGACACGGUCCAAACUCCUACGGGAGGCAGCAGUGGGGAAUAUUGCACAAUGGGCGAAAGCCUGAUGCAGCAACGCCGCGUGAGCGAUGAAGGCCUUCGGGUCGUAAAGCUCUGUCCUCAAGGAAGAUAAUGACGGUACUUGAGGGGGAAGCCCCGGCUAACUACGUGCCAGCAGCCGCGGUAAUACGUAGGGGGCUAGCGUUAUCCGGAUUUACUGGGCGUAAAGGGUGCGUAGGUGGUUUCUUAAGUCAGGAGUGAAAGGCUACGGCUCAACCGUAGUAAGCUCUUGAAACUGGGAAACUUGAGUGCAGGAGAGGAAAGUGGAAUUCCUAGUGUAGCGGUGAAAUGCGUAGAUAUUAGGAGGAACACCAGUAGCGAAGGCGGCUUUCUGGACUGUAACUGACACUGAGGCACGAAAGCGUGGGGAGCAAACAGGAUUAGAUACCCUGGUAGUCCACGCCGUAAACGAUGAGUACUAGGUGUCGGGGGUUACCCCCCUCGGUGCCGCAGCUAACGCAUUAAGUACUCCGCCUGGGGAGUACGCUCGCAAGAGUGAAACUCAAAGGAAUUGACGG